AGUGAACGCUGGCGGUAGGCCUAACACAUGCAAGUCGAACGGCAGCACAGGAGAGCUUGCUCUCUGGGUGGCGAGUGGCGGACGGGUGAGGAAUACAUCGGAAUCUACUCUGUCGCGGGGGAUAACGGAGGGAAACUUACGCUAAUACCGCAUACGACCUACGGGGGAAAGCAGGGGACCUUCGGGCCUUGCGCGAUUGAAUGAGCCGAUGCCGGAUUAGCUAGUUGGCGGGGUAAAGGCCCACCAAGGCGACGAUCCGUAGCUGGUCUGAAAGGAUGAUCAGCCACACUGGAACUGAGACACGGUCCAGACUCCUACGGGAGGCAGCAGUGGGGAAUAUUGGACAAUGGGCGCAAGCCUGAUCCAGCCAUACCGCGUGGGUGAAGAAGGCCUUCGGGUUGUAAAGCCCUUUUGUUGGGAAAGAAAUCCAGCUGGCUAAUACCCGGUUGGGAUGGCGGUACCCAAAGAAUAAGCACCGGCUAACUCCGUGCCAGCCGCCGCCGUAA
rnacentral:rRNA from 1 species